ensembl:lncRNA
AUGAAAGAGAAACACAGGUGGCAAGUACAACUGGAGAAACAGAGAAAGAUUAAAAACAAAUGGAGGAUUAUGGUAGAAACUGACAGCACUGUGCUGAAGUUACUGCUGCUCAUAGAGAAUGCAAACACAAAUGCCAUGACGACAAAACUACUCAAGAGCCCAGGAAAACUCAAGGGCCUAACAAUGGAAUGUUUUACAGGCAAGAUUGAGAUGUCAAUCACAAUACACACCCCCUUCCCAAGAACAAGGUCAUUAUGAUCUCACUUCCUCUUCUCUGGAGUGUCCCUGGACAGGGUUGCAGCUAUAAUGCCCAGGAGAAUUUGGCCACACCCAAAACAAAACAUCCAGUAAACCAGCAGAUUCUUAGAACUCAAAUUGUAAUCAAAUUCUGCUUAUAACCAAAUGCAGAAUGUGUGAUCUAUUAUACCUACAAUAGAAAUCUUAACAAAAAGUAUUUUAUGCAUUGAAAAUUGUUGCAAUUUAAAUGCAGAAUUCAUGAUUAUAGGUGUGCCAUGACAAAUCACAAACUCAUUUUCUUUCUCAAAGCUUAUUAUUGUAGUUAAAAGCAGUAUUUCAAAUCUUGCAUAUAACAUUCGCAGCUUAACUAAAAAUGAGGUGUAAACACCAAUAUUGUUUCACGUACUUUUAAAUAUUUUGUUCAUUAUAAAAUAUGUGUGACUCAAAAUCUAACAUCUGAGUGCCCAGGAGUCUUUUAUAAUGGAUGCGUAGGAAGUACCAUAGCUGAAGCAUAUAAUGUGCGUGUGUGUAUGAGACAGGAUUUUUUCUGGAUCAUCCAGGUUAUACGGGUGAGCUAAGUCUGUCACGCAGAUUACUGGAGAUCCAUUCCAAAUGUUCCGUCAAAAAUUCACCUCACAACCACAGCUAAAAUUUAUUUUGUGUAUGUUGGAACACCAAAAUCUUUCUUCUGCUCAUUUUGCUGGCAUGUCUGAUAGGAAGAAUCAUGUGCUUCCCACACUCACACAUACACACACUUCAGGCUCUGCAUAUCGAAGAAUCCUUCACAUUUAGGUGCAGAUGUGAAUGCACCUCAGAGAAAAGGAGAAAUAAAAAGAGAAACCAACAAAAAGAAAGAGAGAAACAAUCAUUAUCCAGGUGCUUUCUGUGAAGGAACUUUUUCCACAGAAGGCAUUUGGACAUCCUCCUUAUUACUUUCCUAAGUUUUGUUUUCCGAUAUUGCAUUAGUGGUUAGAGAUUUCCAUGUUUAGUAUGCAGGUAUUUAGUCAUUCAGAAUUCCUGCUGUUUUGUGGAUAGAUUUGGCGAAUUAGCAUGAUGCUUAUUUUGUUUCAGUGUCAGUUUUUUAAAGGUGCACUCUAUGUAUUUUUCCUCAUUAAAAACUUACACACAUCAAAAUUAAAAGGAAGACGCCAGUCACAAGCAGGCAUUUGCAUUUUAUUUAUUUUUUUACAUGGAGUGGGUUGCCUCUUGGUGGCCACCAUGUUGAUGACCUGUUGAAUACUACACACAUUAUAUUAGUAAACAUAAUCAAAAAUAUCAAUAAACUAAUAAUGGUUGACUGCAAAUUAUGGUUGUGCCGACUGACGAUAGAGAUAUCGCCUGUGGCUGAUUAUUAUAAACAGACUAGUAAUGCCAUGUAAUUAAUAUUAGGGCUUAUUUGUUCCAUCAUAUUUGAGGAGUUUGGUUCAAAAACCCUAUAAAUCCAUUUUAAUAUAAUUUGAGUAAAAAUGUGUUUUCUUUACCAAGAAAGUGGCAAGAUGAAAAACACUAUUUUCUGUUUCAAACUUUCACAUAGCAUCUUUAGGUUAUAAUAACAUUAAAAAUUCAAAUCCAGAUUUAGAUUUUCAAAGAUUUAUUAUAAAAACGGAUAAUUUUUUAUCCAAAAUGCAAUAAAUUCAUUGAAUCAAUAUAAAAGUUAUUUUUCAAAUUGAAACUACACAACAAAGUAAGUUGAUCCACAUAUGACAGCCUCUGAACUUUGUCAGUACUGAUCUUAUUAAUAGCUUACGUUUCUUCCCCACCGCAAAAACCACCACAGGUUCAUCAAUGGCGUCAAAAGUAUUCAUUUUUUAAGGGCUGCACAAUAAAUCGCAUGCGAUUGUCAUGCGCAUCUCAUCAGUAAAGCCAGUUCUGUGAUUAGUAGUAAAUCUCCUUCACAUGCAUUCAGAUGGAGCAGCAUUUAAUACACAGAGCCAUCACUGACAAGCUACACAAUAUCACAUUCUUAAUUGAAGUCGAUUCAUCUGCGAUUAUGACCACGAUAUUGCGUAGCUUGUCAGUUAUUGUUUACAAUGCGUGGAAUGGGGCGCUGUGAUUGGUUGAGCGGAUGUAUUGUAUUCUGCAGAGAAGGGAGACCGGUGUUUGUCGCGAUUUGGAAAGAUAGGGUGAAAACAUGACAGAAUUACGUAAAAUUUUAAAUUGACUUUUCAAUACUGGCCAGAUACUGGCUCAAUUAUUAUUAUUUUUAAAAUAGUGUUUAAUGUGUUUUGGAACCAAACUCUUCAUUCCUUUUUCUGUGUUUUUACAGUGUUACGUGUUAUAACUAAUCACACACAACUCCGUUGACUUUAUGAAUGCAAUGACCAAUCAGAGGCAUUCAGAUGAGUCAUCGCUGAAACACAGGACGUUUGUUGUUCAGUUUGCUGAAUUCUGCUCUCUCUUGCGAAUUCUCUAAUAAUAAACAACAAGGUGCAGUUGUACAUGCAAUGGUAAUAAUAUUAACAUUUGUUGUAGGCAACAUCCACACCGACAGGUGUCAGUAUUAAUCUAAAGUGACUGUUAUAUCAACCAUCAUUAGAAACCACAAAAAUUACCAUGUGUACCUUUGAGGAAGAAGAAAAAGCUCUUACAUUACCUUACUUCUUCUUUUACACCAACCAAAAAAGUCCACUGUUGGUAGGUUUAUUAUUAUAUAUUAUUAGAAAGAUACAGAGAUGUACGGUAAACAGGGCACAUGGGCUACUCAUUACACAGUCUUGACCAAUAUUAGGGGAUGAUAUGAAACAGAGGUAGGAAUGAACAGGUAGAAUUACAUGAAGAAAAGGUCUUCUGAGAAAAAUAUUUUUUACAGCAGUUAGAAGAAGCAGAGUGCCUCUGUUCAAGCAAUACCAUGUAUCUACACACAACCACUCUCAUAAAUUGCAAGACAUAUGGGUCUAACGGUCAUGAAAGCUGCAACUACCUACAAAUUCAGCCUCUCAGUCUCAACCCAUAAUAACUUACAAUGUGUACAGAGAGAGAAAAGAAAUGAAGGAAAGCAUGCCAAAUAAAUGAAAAGACAAGCACUGUUUUUUUUUUCACUACAUGCAUUUGACUAGCCCAUGUCAUGGACCUAGUGUCAGCUUUGUGGGUGCUGAGGAGAAACGUCAAAAGACAUAACCGAAAAAGAAAAAAACCCUGGUUGAUGAUACGUAACUGAAAAGCUAUGUCAGGUGUACUUCUGCUAUGGCAGAGGACAAAGUUGGAGGCUGCAAAAUAACUAUUUGAGGAA